rnacentral:rRNA from 1 species
UAGGGAAUCUUCGGCAAUGGGGGCAACCCUGACCGAGCAACGCCGCGUGAGUGAAGAAGGUUUUCGGAUCGUAAAGCUCUGUUGUAAGAGAAGAACGUGUGUGAGAGUGGAAAGUUCACACAGUGACGGUAACUUACCAGAAAGGGACGGCUAACUACGUGCCAGCAGCCGCGGUAAUACGUAGGUCCCGAGCGUUGUCCGGAUUUAUUGGGCGUAAAGCGAGCGCAGGCGGUUUAAUAAGUCUGAAGUUAAAGGCAGUGGCUUAACCAUUGUUCGCUUUGGAAACUGUUAAACUUGACUGGAGAAGGAGAGAGUGGAAUUCCAUGUGUAGCGGUGAAAUGCGUAGAUAUAUGGAGGAACACCGGUGGCGAAGGCGGCUCUCUGGUCUGUAACUGACGCUAAGGCUCGAAAGCGUGGGGAGCAAACAGG